rnacentral:rRNA from 1 species
CUGUCGUCAGCUCGUGUUGUGAAAUGUUGGGUUAAGUCCCGCAACGAGCGCAACCCUUAUCCUUUGUUGCCAGCGGUCCGGCCGGGAACUCAAAGGAGACUGCCAGUGAUAAACUGGAGGAAGGUGGGGAUGACGUCAAGUCAUCAUGGCCCUUACGACCAGGGCUACACACGUGCUACAAUGGCGCAUACAAAGAGAAGCGACCUCGCGAGAGCAAGCGGACCUCAUAAAGUGCGUCGUAGUCCGGAUUGGAGUCUGCAACUCGACUCCAUGAAGUCGGAAUCGCUAGUAAUCGUGGAUCAGAAUGCCACGGUGAAUACGUUCCCGGGCCUUGUACACACCGCCCGUCACACCAUGGGAGUGGGUUGCAAAAGAAGUAGGUAGCUUAACCUUCGGGAGGGCGCUUACCACUUUGUGAUUCAUGACUGGGGUGAAGUCGUAACAAGGUAACCGUAGGGGAACCUGCGGUUGGAUCACCUCCUUA